AUGUCUUUGAGCAAAAUCAACGAGGAGCGAGUGGUACUGCUCCAUCUGCUGCGUGCUCUGGCAUCAGGAGGAGGAUUGGGCCAUGCAGGACCCCAGGGGCUGUGUCCUGGUGCUGGAGGCCAGCAGAUCCUCACAUCCUGGCCACAAGCACCAGGCUCGGUGGUGCAGGGAGCUGUGCAGGAGCUCAGCCUGCGUGGGGCUGGCAGCAGGUCCCUCCUGGCAGGUCUCUCCAGAUUUCUUCUCCAAGAUCCCUGCUGGAAUUCAGCCUUGCUGGGCUCUUUCAGCUCAGCCUCUGUGCAGGGUGGGAUGGUGGUGGGGCGGGCAGAAGGAGGAAAGUCCCGGGAUGCCAGAGCCCUUUACGGUGUUAUCCCCGAGGGUACCUGUGCCCUGCCACCCCAGGAGGGGAUGAAGGGAGCAGUGCGUGUCCCCGUGCCCAGGGUGCUGUCCCGCGAGGUGGCAGUGCCCGCGAUGGAACGAUGCUCUGCCAGCCCCGCAGCUGAGCCCGGAGCCGCGGAUCCCCCACGCCGCAGCCGUCAGCCCGUGGGCAUCUCCGUCAGCCCCGGGCGGGUCUCGGUCCGGCCCAGCACGAGGAGCAGAGCGGGGACACGCAGCCUUGACACGCGUCCGUGGGGCUCGGGAGCCGUGAGUGGGUCAGUGUGUGCACACGUCUGCCCUGAACCCCUGGAAUUCCAGCCACAAAACCCCGGGAAUUUCAGCCCUGAAAAUCUGGGAAUUCCAGCCCAAAAAUCCUGGGAAUUUCAGCCCCCAAAUCCUCCGAAUGUUAUGACUCAACCCCCAGGAAUUCUGCCCCCAAAAACCUGGGGAUUCCAAGCUGAGAUCUCUCAGAAUUUAAGCCGGAAAAUCUUGGGAAUUUUAGCUUCAAAAUCCUGGAAAUUUCAGCCGCAAAACUCUGGGAAUUUCAGCCCCAAAAUCCUUGGAAUUUUAAGACCCAAACCGUGGGAAUUCCUGCCCCCAAACCCCAGGGAUUCUGGCUCCCAAAACCUGGAAUCCAAAGGUAUCUGA
rnacentral:lncRNA from 1 species